GGUUUACAACAGCCAAGGUGAGAGGUGAUAUGGAGUUAUUUCUACAUUCUCUCUAGGACUGAUAGAAGUUAUUUGAGUGAAGAGAAGGCUCUGAUGAGAUCACCAUGAGAAAAAGCUAUGGAUUAAAAAAAAGAUCCAACAAAGAGUAUUGGAGUUCACCACAGUUGGGGGGCUACUAUAGAUGGAUAAUACAUCAAAAGAGAUUGAAAUGAAGAUCCCUUCAGUGAUGAGCCUCUUCUAAGGACACAUUUGGCACUUUCUUUCAUAUGCUGGUUCAUCCAGUGAGUUGCUUCUCAGUUGCGUAAUGAAUAUUUGCGCUGGUAACUGCAGCAGGUGUUUAGGCUCUUGGCAGAGUUGUGUCUUGGAAGAUAACCAACCCAGCUUGCAGCAUAUCCUGUGAAAGGAAAUUUCAAUUCUACCAUAAGUUUCUACUGUUAAUAUAUAAUAUGUGUCAGAGAAUCUAGGAGAUUCUAUUGAUUCUGAUGAAUGCACUUUUUUUUUUAAAAUUUUAAAA